rnacentral:rRNA from 1 species
AGUGAACGCUGGCGGCAGGCCUAACACAUGCAAGUCGAGCGGCAGCGGGUCCUUCGGGAUGCCGGCGAGCGGCGGACGGGUGAGGAAUGCAUCGGAAUCUGCCCUGUCGUGGGGGAUAACCUAGGGAAACUUAGGCUAAUACCGCAUACGACCCACGGGUGAAAGCGGGGGAUCGCAAGACCUCGCGCGAUAGGAUGAGCCGAUGUCCGAUUAGCUAGUUGGCGGGGUAAAGGCCCACCAAGGCGACGAUCGGUAGCUGGUCUGAGAGGAUGAUCAGCCGCACUGGGACUGAGACACGGCCCAGACUCCUACGGGAGGCAGCAGUGGGGAAUAUUGGACAAUGGGCGCAAGCCUGAUCCAGCCAUGCCGCGUGGGUGAAGAAGGCCUUCGGGUUGUAAAGCCCUUUUGUCCGGGAAGAAAUCGUCUGGGCUAAUACCCCGGGCGGAUGACGGUACCGGAAGAAUAAGCACCGGCUAACUUCGUG